ACCAGAGCCAUCUCUCCCUACAGCUCUUGCCUGGCGUCCCACUGAAGAUAAGCAGGGUUGAGCCUGGCCAGUACUGGGAGACCUCCUGGGGAAAACUAAGCUUGCUGAUGGAA
ensembl:rRNA 5S_rRNA 5S ribosomal RNA